UACGGAGGAUGCAAGCGUUAUCCGGAAUGAUUGGGCGUAAAGCGUCCGCAGGUGGCUAUGUAAGUCUGCUGUUAAAGAGUGAGGCUCAACCUCAUAAGAGCAGUGGAAACUACAUGGCUAGAGUGCGUUCGGGGCAGAGGGAAUUCCUGGUGUAGCGGUGAAAUGCGUAGAGAUCAGGAAGAACACUGGUGGCGAAAGCGCUCUGCUAGGCCGCAACUGACACUCAUGGACGAAAGCUAGGGGAGCGAAUGGG
rnacentral:rRNA from 1 species